rnacentral:misc_RNA from 1 species
GAAAUGCGAUAAGUAGUGUGAAUUGCAGAAUUCAGUGAAUCAUCGAAUCUUUGAACGCACAUUGCGCCCUUUGGUAUUCCGAAGGGCAUACCUGUUCGAGCGUCAUUUGAACUCUCAAGCUUGGCUUGGUUUUGGGCGUCUGUCGCUGCGUGCAGCGACUCGCCUUAAAGUGAUCGGCUGCUAGUACCUUGACUACGGCGCACAGUACAGUGUUGCUGCCGGGUCGUCUGGUGCCUGGGUUGGCCGUGCAAACACCCUUUUUCUUGAAUUUGACCUCGGAUCAGGUAGGAAUACCCGCUGAACUUAA